GCACCCUGAAUACGCCCGAUCUUGUCUGAUCUAGGAAGCUAAGCAGGUUUGGGCCUGGUUAGUACCUGGAUGGGAGACCGCCUGUAAACACCAUGU
rnacentral:rRNA from 1 species